CUCAAGGUGUCUAGCGACAUCGUCGCUAAUGAUCCGAGGAUUGUGCCCGGUUAUAGCAAUAUUGGAGAUUACCUGCCCGACGAUGUACAUUAUGAAAUCAUGGAGGUGGACGAACACAAAUACCAUUACGGGAAGCCUCUCGUCAAAGAUGAAAGAUCUCUAACAACGAUGAUGCGAAGAUUACAUGAUUGGUACAUGAAAACCUGCAGAGAGUCUGAUGGGAUGAAUACUUUGACGCUGAGAGUUAAACCGGAGCAUGACCUCGUUGGAAUUGAACUGCUGAAUGUUCCAUUUGAGGAGUUCUUCCAGUUUAUCAAUCAAAAGGCCCUCGAUAAAUCAACGAUCACUUGCUACUGUCUGUAA
rnacentral:rRNA from 1 species